UACGUAGGGGGGCAAGCGUUUGUCCGGAUUUAUUGGGCGUAAAGAGCGUGUAGGCGGUCAGGUAGGUCCGUUGUGAAAACUCGAGGCUCAACCUCGAGACGCCGAUGGAAACCAUCUGACUAGAGUCCGGAAGAGGAGAGUGGAAUUCCUGGUGUAGCGGUGAAAUGCGCAGAUAUCAGGAGGAACACCGGUGGCGAAGGCGGGUCUCUGGGCAGUAACUGACGCUGAGGAGCGAAAGCGUGGGGAGCGAACAGG
rnacentral:rRNA from 1 species